UACGUAGGGGGCAAGCGUUGUCCGGAAUCACUGGGCGUAAAGCGCGCGCAGGCGGUCAUCUACGUCUGGGGUGAAAGCCCGGAGCUCAACUCCGGGAUUGCCUUGGAUACGGGAUGACUUGAGGAUCGGGGAGGCAAGGGGAAUUCCACGUGUAGCGGUGAAAUGCGUAGAGAUGUGGAGGAACACCUGUGGCGAAGGCGCCUUGCUGGCCGAUUUCUGACGCUGAGGCGCGAAAGCGUGGGGAGCAAACAGG
rnacentral:rRNA from 1 species